rnacentral:rRNA from 1 species
UGGGGAAUAUUGGACAAUGGGCGAAAGCCUGAUCCAGCCAUGCCGCGUGUGUGAAGAAGGCCUUUUGGUUGUAAAGCACUUUAAGCGAGGAGGAGGCUACUUAGAUUAAUACUCCAGGAUAGUGGACGUUACUCGCAGAAUAAGCACCGGCUAACUCUGUGCCAGCAGGCGCGGUAAUACAGAGGGUGCGAGCGUUAAUCGGAUUUACUGGGCGUAAAGCGUGCGUAGGCGGCUUUUUAAGUCGGAUGUGAAAUCCCUGAGCUUAACUUAGGAAUUGCAUUCGAUACUGGGAAGCUAGAGUAUGGGAGAGGAUGGUAGAAUUCCAGGUGUAGCGGUGAAAUGCGUAGAGAUCUGGAGGAAUACCGAUGGCGAAGGCAGCCAUCUGGCCUAAUACUGACGCUGAGGUACGAAAGCAUGGGGAGCAAACAGG